rnacentral:rRNA from 1 species
GACGAACGCUGGCGGCGUGCUUAACACAUGCAAGUCGAACGGAAAGGCCUCUUUCGGGGGGUACUCGAGUGGCGAACGGGUGAGUAACACGUGAGUAACCUGCCCUUGACUUUGGGAUAACUUCAGGAAACUGGGGCUAAUACCGGAUAGGAGCUCCUGCUGCAUGGUGGGGGUUGGAAAGUUUCGGCGGUUGGGGAUGGACUCGCGGCUUAUCAGCUUGUUGGUGGGGUAGUGGCUUACCAAGGCUUUGACGGGUAGCCGGCCUGAGAGGGUGACCGGCCACAGUGGGACUGAGAUACGGCCCAGACUCCUACGGGAGGCAGCAGGGGGGAAUAUUGCACAAUGGGUGGAAGCCUGAUGCAGCAACGCCGUGUGCGGGAGGACGGCCUUCGGGUUGUAAACCGCUUUCGCUCAUGACGAAGCUUUGUGUGACGGUAGUGGGUAAAGAAGCACCGGCUAACUACGUG